CACAUGCAAGUCGAACGGAAAGGCUCCUGCUUGCAGGGGUACUCGAGUGGCGAACGGGUGAGUAACACGUGGGUGAUCUGCCCUGCACUUCGGGAUAAGCCUGGGAAACAGGGUCUAAUACCGGAUAGGACGAUGGUUUGGAUGCCAUUGUGGAAAGUUUUUCGGUGUGGGAUGAGCUCGCGGCCUAUCAGCUUGUUGGUGGGGUAAUGGCCUACCAAGGCGUCGACGGGUAGCCGGCCUGAGAGGGUGUACGGCCACAUUGGGACUGAGAUACGGCCCAGACUCCUACGGGAGGCAGCAGUGGGGAAUAUUGCACAAUGGGCGCAAGCCUGAUGCAGCGACGCCGCGUGGGGGAUGACGGCCUUCGGGUUGUAAACUCCUUUCGUCAGGGACGAAGCGAAAGUGACGGUACCUGGAUAAGAAGCACCGGCUAACUACGUGCCAGCCGCCGCGGUAA
rnacentral:rRNA from 1 species